GAUGAACGCUGGCGGCGUGCUUAACACAUGCAAGUCGAACGGAAAGGCCACAGCUUGCUGUGGUACUCGAGUGGCGAACGGGUGAGUAACACGUGGGUGAUCUGCCCUGUACUUCGGGAUAAGCUUGGGAAACUGGGUCUAAUACCGGAUAGGAAUCACAUGUGGGUGUGUGGUUGGAAAGCUUUUGCGGUAUGGGAUGAGCUCGCGGCCUAUCAGCUUGUUGGUGGGGUAAUGGCCUACCAAGGCGUCGACGGGUAGCCGGCCUGAGAGGGUGUACGGCCACAUUGGGACUGAGAUACGGCCCAGACUCCUACGGGAGGCAGCAGUGGGGAAUAUUGCACAAUGGGCGCAAGCCUGAUGCAGCGACGCAGCGUGGGGGAUGACGGCCGUCGGGUUGUAAACUCCUUUCGUCAGGGACGAAGCGAAAGUGACGGUACCUGGAGAAGAAGCACCGGCUAACUACGUG
rnacentral:rRNA from 1 species